rnacentral:rRNA from 1 species
UACGUAGGUGGCAAGCGUUGUCCGGAAUUAUUGGGCGUAAAGCGCGCGCAGGCGGUCCUUUAAGUCUGAUGUGAAAGCCCACGGCUCAACCGUGGAGGGUCAUUGGAAACUGGGGGACUUGAGUACAGAAGAGAAGAGUGGAAUUCCACGUGUAGCGGUGAAAUGCGUAGAGAUGUGGAGGAACACCAGUGGCGAAGGCGACUCUUGGUCUGUAACUGACGCUGAGGCGCGAAAGCGUGGGAGCAAACAGG